GGCUGAUCCAAAGGUAGUGAGUUAUCCCAAUUGAUUGUUCACAGCCAGUUACAGAUCAAACUGCUUGUUCUACACUUUCUCCUCUUCUCAUUACUGCACUUGACUAGUCUAAG
ensembl:misc_RNA Y_RNA Y RNA